AGAGUUUGAUCCUGGCUCAGGAUGAACGCUAGCUACAGGCUUAACACAUGCAAGUCGAGGGGCAGCAUGAAGUUUGCUUGCAAACUUUGAUGGCGACCGGCGCACGGGUGAGUAACGCGUAUCCAACCUGGCCCUUAGUAGGGGAUAGCCCGGCGAAAGUCGGAUUAAUACCCUAUGUUCUUCGUCGAGGACAUCUGAAAUGAAGCAAAGGUUUACCGCUAAGGGAUGGGGAUGCGUCUGAUUAGGUAGUCGGCGGGGUAACGGCCCACCGAGCCAUCGAUCAGUAGGGGUUCUGAGAGGAAGGUCCCCCACAUUGGAACUGAGACACGGUCCAAACUCCUACGGGAGGCAGCAGUGAGGAAUAUUGGUCAAUGGUCGUAAGACUGAACCAGCCAAGUAGCGUGCAGGACGACGGCCCUACGGGUUGUAAACUGCUUUUAUGCGGGGAUAAAGUUGGGAACGUGUUCCCUUUUGCAGGUACCGCAUGAAUAAGGACCGGCUAAUUCCGUGCC
rnacentral:rRNA from 1 species